rnacentral:rRNA from 1 species
AGUGAACGCUGGCGGUAGGCCUAACACAUGCAAGUCGAACGGACGCACAGUGAGAGCUUGCUCUUACGGGUGGCGAGUGGCGGACGGGUGAGGAAUCCAUCGGAUUCUACUUUUUCGUGGGGGAUAACGUCGGGUAACUUACGCUAAUACCGCAUACGCCCUACGGGUGUAAGCAGGGGUUGUUCGGACCUUGUGGGAGUGAAUGAGCCGAUGUCGGAUUAGCUAGUUUGCGGGGUAAAGGCCCACCAAGGCGACGCUCCGUAGCUGCUCUGAGAGGGUGAACAGCCACACUGGAAGAGAGGCACGGUACCGACACCUACGGGAGGCAGCAGUGGGGAAUAUUGGGCAAUGGGCGCAAGCCGGAUCCAGCCAUACCGGGUGAGUGAAGAAGGCCUUCGGGUGGUAAAGCCCUUUUGUUGGGAAAGAAAAGCAGCAGGUUAAUACCCCGCGGUUCUGACGGUACCCAAAGAAUAAGCACCGGCUAACUUCGUG